rnacentral:rRNA from 1 species
GAUGAACGCUAGCGGCAGGCCUAACACAUGCAAGUCGAGGGGUAGCAGGAUUAAGCUUGCUUAAUUGCUGACGACCGGCGCACGGGUGCGUGACGCGUAUGCAACCUACCUUAUACUGGGGUAUAGCCCGGAGAAAUUCGGAUUAAUCCCCCAUAGUACUAAUGAAUCGCAUGGUUUAUUAGUUAAAGCAUUGCGGUAUAAGAUGGGCAUGCGUCCGAUUAGCUAGAUGGUGAGGUAACGGCUCACCAUGGCUACGAUAGGUAGGGGUCCUGAGAGGGUGGUCCCCCACACGGGUACUGAGACGCGGACCAGACUCCUACGGGAGGCAGCAGUGAGGAAUAUUGGUCCAUGGGCGCAAGCCUGAACCAGCCAUGCCGCGUGCAGGAAGAAUGCCCUAUGGGUUGUAAACUGCUUUUAUUUGGGAAUAAACCUCUUUACGUGUAGAGAGCUGAAGGUACCAAAUGAAUAAGCACCGGCUAACUCCGUGCCAGCCGCCGCCGUAA